rnacentral:lncRNA from 10 species
UGACUUCACCACAAUGAAAUAUAUCAAUGUACCAAAUUGCACUUACACCCCUUGAAUGUAUAUAUUAAAAAAAAAAAAGAAUAGAAUACAGCAAAAGUAAUAGAAAUAAAUUUGCAAGUUUGGGUUAGGAAAAACUAGAAACUCUCACACACUCUCUCUCUUUCCUCUCAUUUAAUCCCACCGAUGAAGCCAGUUUUCAUGUUCUCAGCUGCCCUACUGAGAAGACCACCUGGUCAGAAACAGCCAGCAAAGAACUAAAGCCCUCAAUCAGACUAUCCACAAGGACUGAACCCUGCCAAUGAGUAGAUACACGAACUUGGAAGCAUAUUCUUCUGUAUUCCGGUCUUGAGAUGAUUGCAACCCUGGCUGACCCUUUGAUUGUAAGAGAUCCAGUGACCCCAGUUAAGGUGUACCUGGAUUUCAGCCCCAUGGAAACGAUGAGAUAUUACAGCAGCAGUUGGUGGAAAUGUCUGUGAAACAUCUUUAAGAAGAGCAACCUUUAAUGAGGUGGCCAUUCCCAGCUUUUCAUGUGAAUACACUCUUUAAACUGGAUUCUGAUCUUUCUGAUUAUUUCUCUCCCAGCUCUGCCACUGGCCAGCUGGGUGACUUUGGUGAAGUCACUGAAUCCAUCAGAAGCAGUUUCCUUUCCUACAAUGUAGAAAAUACAAUUCCUGUCCUCCAAUACCACAGAUUUCUGAGCAUCAGUAAUGGAGGUGUUGUAGAAUCGCUUUGUGAAUUCUUGUGCUAUGGAGACAGUCCUUGUUCCCGAUUUGUUAUUUAAACAUUGUAAUUUUGUUUGAUUGUUUACUGAAGUCAUGUCUGAAAACUCCCAUCUGUAACUAAUCUCUGACUCAAUGAACUUCCAUGAUAAUGUUUUAAGAGAGAAAAAGAAAAAAAAAACCAUAUUCUUAAUACCUACUAAAAGCUAGAUAAUGUAUUAAAUUGACUUGUAUUGCUUAUCUCAUUUUAGUCCCACAACAACCCUCUGAGGAAAAUAGGAUUCUCACUGCCCAGAAGGUAAGCAGCUGUCUUGGGUUUCUGGCCUGAGUAACCACAGGCUUAGUGAUGCUAAUGACAGACAAAGGAGGACUCACAGGCUCUGAGCAGAUCCUGGGGGGUUACUUGCUGAUAUACCCAGAGGGAGCUGUCCCGCAGGUAGGCAGAACUCAGAUCUGCACCUGGAAGGGGUCUUAGCUGAGCCUGGACACUUGUGGGUCAUUCAUGAGGAGGAAAAUGAGACUGAGUGUGUAAAUGUGGUCAGUCAGGGAAAAUGUAUAGACUGAAAUAUGGAGACCACAAUGGAAUACUUGGAACUAACAUUUUAAAA